UUUUUAGGAAAAGGAUUAGAGACCCUUGUACUAGGUGGAGUAUUUUGUGUCCAUGGUGUAAACUAAAAGGAUUUGGCAGCCGACGAGGUUCUUCCGGGGGAGUGUGUGGUUUAAGAGAUAGUCCGCUUAGGAUCUUGCCGCCGCUAUUAGUUAGUGUAUAUCCGGUUUAAGAUUCGUGAUUUGUGUCAUUGAGUGUCAUUUUAUUUUAAUUGAAUCCAGGUC
rnacentral:rRNA from 1 species